GAUGAACGCUGGCGGCGUGCCUAAUACAUGCAAGUCGAGCGGACGGACCAGAGGUUGCACUGUUACUUGUUAGCCGCGGGCGUGAGAGUAACGCGUGGGUAACCCCCCUAUAAGAGUGGGAUAACUUCGAGAAUGCGGCGCUUAUACGGGAUAAUAUUUUUAACCGCAUGGUUCUAAAAUGAAAGACGGGCUUGCUGUCACCUAUCGAUGGAUCCGCGUUGCAUUAGCUAGUUGGUAAGGUAACGGCUUACCAAGGCGACGAUGCAUAGCCGAGCUGAGAGGGUGAUCCGCCCUGCUGGAAUGGAGAGACGGUCUAGACCCCUACGGGAGGCAGCAGUAGGGAGUCAUCCGGCAGUGGCGAAAGCCUGACGGAGCAACGCCGCGUGAUUGAUGGAGGUCUUCGGAUCGUAAAACUCUGUUAUUAGGGAAGAACAUAUGUGUAAGUAACUGUGCACAUCGUGACGGUACCUAAUCAGAAAGCAACGGCUAACUACGUG
rnacentral:rRNA from 1 species